GCAGAGGGGUCAUCCUGCUCUUGUUGAAUUUGCUCUGUUUCAUCAACUAACCAGUCCAAGUUUAUGGAGUGGCGGCCAUUUCUUGGAUCCAGCAACCUGGGUUUACAGCAGGUUUGGUCCUCAAAGUCUGUCUGGACGACGGAUCCAUAGAUGAUGUUUUUCUCGUCUGGUGCUGGUACAGGAGGUGAUUCAUGGAUCACAGGUUCUGCUGGGUUAAUCCUGGGUGUACUGGGUUGAUUAUGGCUCAGUACAGAGCUGAUGAGAUGUCCAGCAGUUCUGGCGACCCAAGGAAGCACAACAAGACCUAGAGCUAAUACUGGCAUGUCAGUAGAUAGUGGGAUUAACUAGAUAAAAUGGUAUUUCUCCUGAUAUUUAGUUGCAAAGUUUUACAAUUCUCUGCAGAAAGUGUGAGAUAUCUGAUCGAUUCUGACGCGUUUGGUCUCAGUAAAGAGUGACGUAACAAAAGAAAGAAGCAGGAGUGACGUCAGGAGUGUUCCAUGUUUUUUUUAAAAAUACUAACGGCUGGAUUUUGAAAGGAUCCAACAGAGAAACUCCCUUCUGGGCUCCUUCUAAAGCCACGCCCCCAAAAUACGUGAACGCACGUUGCCGUUGCAGCUGGAGGACCAGCGAAGAGGAGCGCAGUGCAGCCGCUCACAUCAGGUAGCUUCCACGGUGACAGCAUUAUUGUCUCUGAGGACUGCACUCCAGAGCCAAGCACAGACCAGGAGAGGACCGGGGUCGAGGCGCAGAGGUGGGAGGUCCGAGGAAGAACAGGCAGGACGGAGAGGACGAGGUGCAAGUUAAGCAGCACAUUUUCUAGGACCUGAGUCGAGCUUCACACUCCAACAACGGCAUAUGAACAGAUGAAGGAAACACAAUAUAAAGACCUUAAACAUCAUGGUAAAGAAUUUUAAAUGCUUUAAUUGAAAACUGCCACUACACACCACAGACAUACUGUACUGCCUCCAAAUGAGAGGAAACAAAAUAAGAAAGAAAGACCUGUAGUGAACCCAGGCUCAACAAAACAGCAGAACAUACAGUAUGUGUGUUGAAGAGUACAGCUCUGAGUCUGAAUUUUGCAGUUUAGCUGUAAUGGAGAAAGCAGUGCAUUUGUUUUAGUGGGGAUGUUACUUUUAUCCUGACAAGGCAAAAAAAUGAACAUCAACCCUUAACGUGAACGACAGUCUGUUCCUCAUAAUGCAGUAAUUGUUUUAUGAAAGGUCCAGUUAGUCCUUUCUGACCUCAUUAACAAAACAUAAAUACUGCAUUUGUUGUACAUUUCUGUAGGUACUCACUUCCCAACAGUGACUAACCAUUUUUGUGUUUUUUUAGUUGGUUGUAAUUCACAAUAUUGCCCUGUUUUACCCCUGCAUAUAGCUUUAUCACUGACCUCUGUCAGUUUGAGAAAACAUGUGUAACAUAGACUUGCUGCCUAGAGCUUGUGGAUUAAAUGACCUCAGUUAAACUAGCAUACUUGGAUUUGUAAUUUUAAACCAAAUCUUAUGCUCUUUGGUUGUGUAAGUGUAAUGAGGUUCCAGUAAGUGGACCUUGAGUUAAAAUUAUUUUGUUGCUUCUAUUGUCAAGAACUAACUAUGGCAAAAUUUUGCAAAGAAUGGGUUGGACAUUUUAAUGGAAUUAAAACCCAAUGAAAUAAUAAUUGAACACAAUUUGAAACCAACAGGACAAUAAUUCAAACAGGAACAUUACAAAUGUCUGUUAAACAUGUUGGGUUAGAUUACAGAGUACAUAUGGUGUCACAUUUAUUGCCCAUUAUUUCACAUUGUGACAUUUGUUGAAACCUUGUUUUGCACAGCCACUAUUACCACAAAUGAUACUGAUUACUAACAAAAGGCUAUAUGUGCAAUUUAAUGGUCAGAUAUCAUAUCAGUGUUAGUCUAGAGCUCCCUCUGUAGUCCAUCCAAGAAACAGUAUCUUCUGUUCACAUGUAUAUUUGUAUGCAUUUAAAGCUGCACUAACUCUUCUCAGUGCUCAGCGUCAUAACGUACAUUACCUAUAAUACAGAGCAGAGCUGCAGAGAGUUUAUCAAACCAGCUGUGAUCAUUAUUGUGUUCUGAGCAAAAUGAUCCAGAGUGACAGUGAGUGUCAGUCUGAGUGAUGGGAGGUGUGACGUUACAACGGAGAUAUGAAGAGUUAGAGGUGGGAGUGUCGCUGUAGUAUGUGAUGUUCUGUGGUUGUACUUGAGGUCCCCCUACAGUAGAGCAGAUAAAAUGUUUUGCCAACAGCGCGCUGGGUUUUUGUUCAGCUUCCACAUGUGUCUGUAUCACUGUGCUCACUAACGGCACAGAAGUACAAGCCUUUAUCUUCUGGCACCAGAUUCUUCACAGUGAAUGUCCCACUGUGAGCGUCAGGCUUGGUGGCUGAGAAUUUCUCUUUGCUGAAGUCUGGUUCAAAAUCAGGUUUGUUGUUUGCAAUCGUGAACACUACUUGUUUCAUUGCUUCUUUUGGCAGCUGUCUGUACCAGUACAUCUGGAAAUAGCCGCCACCUUUGGUGUGGCUGCAGCUUAUUGUUGCAUUUUCACCCUGGUGUUUCCACAGUAUGUCAGUCUGGGUGACAUCACUCCCAUCAAUAAGACCUGUGUGUAAAACAGUUAGGUUAAUAGUGAAAAUGCAUUUACUUUAAAACACUUUAAAACCAUUGUCACCCUCUGCUGCCAUGUCAAAAAUUAUAGUUUAAUAAUGAAAAGCAAGUAAUCCUUAAUGUAAGUCACCUUUCAUCCAGAGCAGAAAUAAUAAAAAGCUGAAGAGACCAUGUUUGAUAAUGUCCAUGUUCUGGUAUCUGGAGACUCACAUAAAUCUGUUAGUGUAGUUACAGAGAGAUGAAGAGUUGCAGGUGGGAGUGUCUCUGCAGCGUGUGACGUUUUCUGAUCCUGUUGGCUGCUGUAUCAAAAUUUGCUUGGUGAAUCAAAGUGACUGAGUAUUUGUGGUACUUGAGGUCCCCCUACAGUACGUGAGAUGGUGGGACAGAGGUGUGCUAACAGUGCACUGGGGUUUUUGUUCAGAU